AACGAACGCUGGCGGCGUGCCUAACACAUGCAAGUCGAGCGAGAAAGCCCGCAAGGGUGAGUAAAGCGGCGCACGGGUGCGUAACACGUGGGUAAUCUGCCCUAGAGUCUGGAAUAACUCGCCGAAAGGCGUGCUAAUGCCGGAUGAGACCACGGGAGCUUUGGCCCCUGCGGGAAAAGGUUGCCUCUGUAUACAAGCUCUCGCUCUAGGAUGAGCCCGCGGCCCAUCAGCUAGUUGGCGGGGUAAUGGCCCACCAAGGCAACGACGGGUAGCUGGUCUGAGAGGACGAUCAGCCACACUGGAACUGAGACACGGUCCAGACUCCUACGGGAGGCAGCAGUGGGGAAUCUUGCGCAAUGGGCGAAAGCCUGACGCAGCAACGCCGCGUGUGUGAUGAAGGUCUUCGGAUCGUAAAGCACUGUCGCGAGGGACGAAUAAGGGUCGGGUGAACAAUCCGGUCCGAUAACGGUACCUCGAGAGGAAGCACCGGCUAACUCUGUGCCAGCAGCCGCAGUAACAC
rnacentral:rRNA from 1 species